AACGAACGCUGGCGGUAUGCUUAACACAUGCAAGUCGAACGAGAAAGGAGCUUUCGGGCUCUGAGUAAAGUGGCGAACGGGUGAGUAACGCGUGAGCAAGCUACCCUGGAGUAGAGGAUAACACUUCGAAAGGAGUGCUAACACUUUACGACAUUAGGGAUGCGCAUGUAUUCUUAAUUAAAGAAGGCCUCUUCAUGAAAGCUUUCGCUUCAGGAUGCGCUCGCGUACCAUUAGCUAGUUGGUAGGGUAACGGCCUACCAAGGUGAGGAUGGUUAGCCGGCCUGAGAGGGUGUCCGGCCACACUGGGAUUGAGAUACGGCCCAGACUCCUACGGGAGGCAGCAGUGGGGAAUAUUGCGCAAUGGGGGAAACCCUGACGCAGCAAUACCGCGUAGACGAUGAAGGCCCUUGGAUUGUAAAGUCUUGUUAGGUGGGAAGAAAUGCCUUAAGGUGAAUAGUCUUAGGGUUUGACGGUACCACCAGAGAAAGCCCCGGCUAACUCCGUGCCAGCAGCCGCGGUAAUACGGAGGGGGCAAGCGUUGUUCGGAAUUACUGGGCGUAAAGGGCGUGUAGGCGGCCUGGAAAGUUAGAUGCGAAAGACCAUGGCUUAACCAUGGAAUUGUAUCUAAAACUCCUGGGCUUGAGUAUAGGAGAGGAAAGUGGAAUUCCCAGUGUAGCGGUGAAAUGCGUAGAUAUUGGGAGGAACACCGGUGGCGAAGGCGGCUUCCUGGACUAAUACUGACGCUGAGGCGCGAAAGCCAGGAGAGCGAACGGGAUUAGAUACCCCGGGUAUCCUGGCUGGUAACGAUGGACACUAUGUGUUAGGAGGUAUCAACUCCUUCUGUGCCG
rnacentral:rRNA from 1 species